rnacentral:rRNA from 1 species
AUUGAACGCUGGCGGCAUGCCUUACACAUGCAAGUCGAACGGCAGCACGGGGCAACCUGGUGGCGAGUGGCGAACGGGUGAGUAAUGCAUCGGAACGUACCUUUCAGUGGGGGAUAACGUAGCGAAAGUUACGCUAAUACCGCAUAUUCUGUGAGCAGGAAAGCAGGGGAUCGCAAGACCUUGCGCUGAUUGAGCGGCCGAUGUCAGAUUAGCUAGUUGGUGAGGUAAAGGCUCACCAAGGCGACGAUCUGUAGCGGGUCUGAGAGGAUGAUCCGCCACACUGGAACUGAGACACGGUCCAGACUCCUACGGGAGGCAGCAGUGGGGAAUUUUGGACAAUGGGGGCAACCCUGAUCCAGCCGUGCCGCGUGAGUGAAGAAGGCCUUCGGGUUGUAAAGCUCUUUCGGCCGGGAAGAAAUCGUAUCAGCUAAUACCUGGUGCGGAUGACGGUACCGGCAUAAGAAGCACCGGCUAACUACGUGCCAGCCGCCGCCGUAAGAC